rnacentral:rRNA from 1 species
AGCGAACGCUGGCGGCAGGCUUAACACAUGCAAGUCGAACGCCCCGCAAGGGGAAUGGCAGACGGGUGAGUAACACGUGGGAACGUACCCUUUGGUUCGGACUAACUUGGGGAAACUCAAGCUAAUACCGGAUAAGCCCUUAUGGGGAAAGGUUUACUUCCGAAGGAUCGGCCCGCGUCUGAUUAGCUAAUUGGUGAGGUAAUGGCUCACCAAGGCGACGAUCAGUAGCUGGUCUGAGAGGAUGAUCAGCCACACUGGGACUGAGACACGGCCCAGACUCCUACGGGAGGCAGCAGUGGGGAAUAUUGGACAAUGGGGGCAACCCUGAUCCAGCCAUGCCGCGUGAGUGAUGAAGGCCUUAGGGUUGUAAAGCUCUUUUACCCGGGACGAUAAUGACUGUACCGGGAGAAUAAGCCCCGGCUAACUUCGUGCCAGCCGCCGCUGUAA